AUUGAACGCUGGCGGCAGGCCUAACACAUGCAAGUCGAACGAGUGGCGGACGGGUGAGUAAUAUCUGGGAAACUGCCUGAUGGAGGGGGAUCACUACUGGAAACGGUAGCUACUACCGCAUACCAUCAAAUAUGCACAGAUGGGAUUAGCUUGUUGGUGGGGUAACGGCUCACCAAGGUGACGAUCACGAGCUGGUCUGAGCGGAUGACAAGCCACCCUGGACCUGAGCAACGGUCCAGACUCCUACGGGAGGCAGCAGUGGGGAAUAUUGCACAAUGGGCGCAAGCCUGAUGCAGCCAUGCCGCGUGUAUGAAGAAGGCCUUCGGGUUGUAAAGUACUUUAAGCGGGGAGGCGUUACCCGCAGAAGAAGCACCGGCUAACUCCGUGCCAGCAGCCGCGGUAAUAC
rnacentral:rRNA from 1 species